UUGAAUAAAGUGCAGAUUCUUGCGCUCACAAAAGAUACAGAGAAGAUUAGCAUGGCCUCUGUGCAAGGAUGACACCCAAACUGGUGAAGUAUUCCACAGGCCU